rnacentral:tRNA from 1 species
UUAGGGAGACCUAAGGCACAUACCAAGUAGUAGUGGAAAGGGAAGAGAUAUCCUGAGUAAGCGAUGAAUAUAUAAGCUUGGAUGUUUAGCCUAAUCCCAAGGUCGAAACGAGUGAUGGGAGCAAGAGUUUCAAACUAUUGGUUAGGUUCGUAACCAUUAAUCAAGGGCUAUUAGCUCAGGUGGUUAGAGCGCACCCCUGAUAAGGGUGAGGUCCCUGGUUCAAGUCCAGGAUGGCCCACCAGAUAAUUACCAUUAUCGGAGCAAGAGAACAGCAUCUGUACCAACACGCUAAUCAGGAUAACUGAGGAAGAGGGUGGUAGGGAUGCUGGAGGACUACUCCAGUAAAUGAACCUUGAAAACUGCAUAGCCAGAUGUCUGCCCAGCAGGUGAGUAUCUGACGAGACAAUUAUGAUUGGAUCGUUUGAACGAACUGCAAGCAAGAAAAAGAACAAUUGGUCAAGCUAACAAGAGCUAAUGGU